UCCAGACUCCUACGGGAGGCAGCAGUGGGGAAUAUUGCACAAUGGGGGAAACCCUGAUGCAGCGACGCCGCGUGAGUGAAGAAGUAUUUCGGUAUGUAAAGCUCUCUCAGCAGGGAAGAAAAUGACGGUACCUGCCUAAGAAGCCCCGGCUAACUACGUGCCAGCAGCCGCGGUAAUACGUAGGGGGCAAGCGUUAUCCGGAUUUACUGGGUGUAAAGGGAGCGUAGACGGCAUGGCAAGUCAGAUGUGAAAGCCCGGGACUCAACCCCGGGACUGCACUUGAAACUGUCAGGCUGGAGUGCAGGAGAGGUAAGUGGAAUUCCUAGUGUAGCGGUGAAAUGCGUAGAUAUUAGGAGGAACACCAGUGGCGAAGGCGGCUUACUGGACUGUAACUGACGUUGAGGCUCGAAAGCGUGGGGAGCAAACAGGAUUAGAUACCCGUGUACC
rnacentral:rRNA from 1 species